CCUACGGGAGGCAGCAGUGGGGAAUUUUGGACAAUGGGCGCAAGCCUGAUCCAGCAAUGCCGCGUGCAGGAUGAAGGCCUUCGGGUUGUAAACUGCUUUUGUACGGAACGAAAAAGUCUGCCCUAAUACGGUGGGCCCAUGACGGUACCGUAAGAAUAAGCACCGGCUAACUACGUGCCAGCAGCCGCGGUAAUACGUAGGGUGCGAGCGUUAAUCGGAAUUACUGGGCGUAAAGCGUGCGCAGGCGGUUAUAUAAGACAGAUGUGAAAUCCCCGGGCUCAACCUGGGACCUGCAUUUGUGACUGUAUAGCUAGAGUACGGUAGAGGGGGAUGGAAUUCCGCGUGUAGCAGUGAAAUGCGUAGAUAUGCGGAGGAACACCGAUGGCGAAGGCAAUCCCCUGGACCUGUACUGACGCUCAUGCACGAAAGCGUGGGGAGCAAACAGGAUUAGAUACCCUGGUAGUCCACGCCCUAAACGAUGUCAACUGGUUGUUGGGUCUUCACUGACUCAGUAACGAAGCUAACGCGUGAAGUUGACCGCCUGGGGAGGUACGGCGCGAGUAGAACGUAAGAAGUAGAGNGNGAGAGNGCGACGACGACGACGAGGGAGGAGG
rnacentral:rRNA from 1 species